rnacentral:rRNA from 1 species
UACGUAGGGGGCUAGCGUUGUCCGGAAUCAUUGGGCGUAAAGCGCGUGUAGGCGGCCCGGUAAGUCCGCUGUGAAAGUCGGGGGCUCAACCCUCGAAAGCCGGUGGAUACUGUCGGGCUCGAGUACGGGAGAGGCGAGUGGGAUUCCUGGUGUAGCGGUGAAAUGCGCAGAUAUCAGGAGGAACACCGAUUGCGAAGGCAGCUCGCUGGAACGUUACUGACGCUGAGACGCGAAAGCGUGGGGAGCAAACAGG